rnacentral:lncRNA from 1 species
AAUGGAUAGGAUGGGAUGGCGAAUGGGAAUAUUAUGGAUGAGUUGGAGAAUGGAUAGGAUGGGAUGGGAUGGGAUAUUAUGGGAUGGGUUGGAGAAUGGAUGGGAUGGGGUGGGAUGGGAUGGCUGCUAAAAUAUACAAAAAUAUUAAUGAUUCCACAAGUAUAAGGUGUAUUUUGGAGUAUCACAGCCUGUGACUGUGUUAACAGCACACAAUCGUGGCAUAAGCUGUUGACAGGAGGUGGCAGGGGGAAAAAUAACCAGAGAUGGCUACAGUGUGAAAAGGGAGCGAAGAGGAGGAAAAAUAGGUUUGGCUGUAUGUGUACUUCUGUAUUGAAGUGAAUACAAAUGGCAGUGUAUCUUGGCUAACCAGAUGGCAAUUUAUACAUGGAUUGUGGAAGAUGGAGGUAUUUUUAACAGAUCCUUCCAUAGAAAUGGGGCGGCAUUUACUCAGCUCAUGACAUCAGAUGUGACAAACCCCUACUCUUAUAAAGGCUACCUGGGAAAUAAAGUUGUUACGAAGACGUUUUGAACGAAAGAGUUUGUGCAAAUAUAACUCAGAGCAGAAAUUGGUCUAAAGCAAUUCAAUCAUUGAUGAUGCAUAAAGAACCAGAGGUGGGGUUGAGAGCGAUGUUGUGAGUGGGUGAAAAACAUAUUUUAAUAUAAACUGCAGGAAAUCUGGUAUUUGCAUCCCCAAGAGAAUGAACCAGAACCCAAAAAUGACAGUACUGAAUGAUUUCCAGUAAGUAUCUGAGACUAUUUGAGCAGUAAUAAGAUAACAAUGCUGUCUAGUCUGUGCAGGACAAGAGUUAGUGAUUCAGUCCCUUUGUGAUGCAGGUGGCGUCUUGCUCCACCCAGACAUAAAAGAGGACAGUUUACCUCCUGGAGGAGAGGUGGUCCUUAUGAAUUAUAAAGUUUGGAACUUGGAACACCUAAAAUCAGAGAAAUGUCAGGAGAAGGUUUAAGGGCUGUGUUUUUCUGUGACUCGUUAUGACUGAGCCAAUACAUUGUACGAUCACGCCAAAACAAAACGUGUUCCAGUUUGUAACUUGACGUAACUUUUAGGGUCACAAGGAUGUUAAGUUUGAAGAGUUCUUGGUGGGGAUGCUGCCAAGUUGUACAAUUCGAUGUCGAUUGCUGCGUGUCAAGGAACAGUAAUGAAUGAGUGAAUGUAUUGGCCCACUAAGCUGUGCAGAGCAGCA